AUUGAACGCUGGCGGCAGGCCUAACACAUGCAAGUCGAGCGAGCGGCGGACGGGUGAGUAAUGUCUGGGAAACUGCCUGAUGGAGGGGGAUAACUACUGGAAACGGUAGCUAAUACCGCAUACCAUCAGAUGUGCCCAGAUGGGAUUAGCUAGUAGGUGGGGUAAUGGCUCACCUAGGCGACGAUCCCUAGCUGGUCUGAGAGGAUGACCAGAAAAACUGGAAAGGAGACACGGCCCAGCAUACGACGAGAGGAAGCAGUGGGGAAUAUUGCACAAUGGGCGAAAGCCUGAUGCAGCCAUGCCGCUGGUGUGAAGAAGGCCUGCGGGUUGUAAAGCACUUUCAGCGGGGAGGCGUUACCCGCAGAAGAAGCACCGGCUAACUCCGUGCCAGCAGCCGCGGUAAUUC
rnacentral:rRNA from 1 species